UACGUAGGGGGCUAGCGUUGUCCGGAUUUAUUGGGCGUAAAGAGCGUGUAGGCGGCUAGAUAGGUCCGUUGUGAAAACUCGAGGCUCAACCUCGAGACGUCGAUGGAAACCAUCUGGCUAGAGUCCGGAAGAGGAGAGUGGAAUUCCUAGUGUAGCGGUGAAAUGCGCAGAUAUCAGGAAGAACACCCGUGGCGAAGGCGGCUCUCUGGUACGUGACUGACGCUGAGACGCGAAAGCGUGGGGAGCAAACAGG
rnacentral:rRNA from 1 species